rnacentral:tRNA from 2 species
GGUCCAAUAGUGUAGAGGUUAUCACAUGGGAUUCUGAUUCCCAUGACCCAGGUUCGAGUCCUGGUUGGACCU